rnacentral:lncRNA from 1 species
CUCGUGAUCUGAGGCUAUCAGUGUGGCAGUUGGAACAAUUCGCAUCUGGAGAACUACCUCUGUGGAUUUAUGCCCUGGACAACCUCAGCAUGGACGAAGAACACCUUAUCCAGAAAUGAUG